GUAUGCAGCUGUAUCAUCCCUCACGUGCCUAAUCCUGAAAGCUAAGCAGGGUCGAGCCUUGCUAGUAUUUGGUUCAAAGACCACCUAGGAAUACUGAGUGCUGUAGGCU
rnacentral:rRNA from 1 species